rnacentral:rRNA from 1 species
GCGGUGGCCCGCCCUAAUAAAUGCCAGUCGAGGGGUAUAGAGGAGCUUGCUUUUCUAGAGACCGGCGCACGGGUGCGUAACGCGUAUGCAACCUACCUUUAUCAGGGGGAUAGCCCGGAGAAAUUCGGAUUAACACCGCAUAAAAUCACAGUAUCGCAUGAUAUAAUGAUCAAAUAUUUAUAGGAUAAAGAUGGGCAUGCGUGCCAUUAGCUAGUUGGUGAGGUAAAGGCUCACCAAGGCGACGAUGGCUAGGGGAUCUGAGAGGAUGACCCCCCACACUGGUACUGAGACACGGACCAGACUCCUACGGGAGGCAGCAGUAAGGAAUAUUGGUCAAUGGGCGCAAGCCUGAACCAGCCAUGCCGCGUGCAGGAAGACGGCCCUCUGGGUUGUAAACUGCUUUUACACGGGAACAAACGCCGCUAUGCGUAGCGGUCUGAGUGUACCGUGAGAAUAAGGAUCGGCUAACUCCGUGCCAGCAGCCGCGGUAAUACGGAGGAUCCGAGCGUUAUCCGGAUUUAUUGGGUUUAAAGGGUGCGUAGGCGGCCGUUUAAGUCAGGGGUGAAAGACGGUGGCUCAACCAUCGCAGUGCCUUUGAUACUGAAUGGCUUGAAUACACUGGAGGCAGGCGGAAUGUGGCAAGUAGCGGUGAAAUGCUUAGAUAUGCCACAGAACACCGAUUGCGAAGGCAGCUUGCUAUAGUGUUAUUGACGCUGAUGCACGAAAGCGUGGGGAUCGAACAGGAUUAGAUACCCUGGUAGUCCACGCCCUAAACGAUGGACACUCGCUGUUGGCGAUACAAUGUCAGCGGCUAAGCGAAAGCGUUAAGUGUCCCACCUGGGGAGUACGCCCGCAAGGGUGAAACUCAAAGGAAUUGACGGGGGCCCGCACAAGCGGGAGGAGCAUGUGGUUUAAUUCGAUGAUACGCGAGGAACCUUACCCGGGCUUGAAAGUUAGCGAAGGAGCCAGAGAUGGCUUCGUCCUUCGGGACGCGAAACUAGGGUGCUGCAUGGCUGUCGUCAGCUCGUGCCGUGAAGGUGUUGGGUUAAGUCCCGCAACGAGCGCCAACCCCUUAUGUUUAGGUUGCCAGCCAUUUAAAGGGUGGGGGGACUCUAAACAGAACCUGCCCCGCGCAGCCGGAGAGGAAGGAGGGGACGACGUCAGUCAUUCAUGGCCCUUACGUCCUGGGCUACACACGUGCUCACAUGGGGCGGUACAAAGGGCAGCUAAACAGCAUGUAUGCAUUCCCAUAAAAGGCCGUCACAAUUCGGGAAUUGGGGUUUCUGUGAAAAAU